rnacentral:rRNA from 1 species
AUUGAACGCUGGCGGCAGGCCUAACACAUGCAAGUCGAGCGGCAGCGGGAAAGUAGCUUGCUACUUUUGCCGGCGAGCGGCGGACGGGUGAGUAAUGCCUGGGGAUCUGCCCAGUCGAGGGGGAUAACUACUGGAAACGGUAGCUAAUACCGCAUACGCCCUACGGGGGAAAGCAGGGGACCUUCGGGCCUUGCGCGAUUGGAUGAACCCAGGUGGGAUUAGCUAGUUGGUGAGGUAAUGGCUCACCAAGGCGACGAUCCCUAGCUGGUCUGAGAGGAUGAGCAGCCACACUGGAACUGAGACACGGUCCAGACUCCUACGGGAGGCAGCAGUGGGGAAUAUUGCACAAUGGGGGAAACCCUGAUGCAGCCAUGCCGCGUGUGUGAAGAAGGCCUUCGGGUUGUAAAGCACUUUCAGCGAGGAGGAAAGGUUGGUAGCUAAUAACUGCCAGCUGUGACGUUACUCGCAGAAGAAGCACCGGCUAACUCCGUGCCAGCAGCCGCAGUAAAAC